rnacentral:rRNA from 1 species
AACGAACGCUGGCGGCAUGCCUAACACAUGCAAGUCGAACGAGACCUUCGGGUCUAGUGGCGCACGGGUGCGUAAUGCGUGGGAAUCUUCCCUUGGGUUCGGAAUAACAGUUGGAAACGACUGCUAAUACCGGAUGAUGACGUAAGUCCAAAGAUUUAUCGCCCAAGGAUGAGCCCGCGUAGGAUUAGCUAGUUGGUGAGGUAAAGGCUCACCAAGGCGACGAUCCUUAGCUGGUCUGAGAGGAUGAUCAGCCACACUGGGACUGAGACACGGCCCAGACUCCUACGGGAGGCAGCAGUGGGGAAUAUUGGACCAGGGGCGAAAGCCUGAUCCAGCAAUGCCGCGUGAGUGAUGAAGGCCUUAGGGUUGUAAAGCUCUUUUACCCGGGAUGAUAAUGACAGUACCGGGAGAAUAAGCUCCGGCUAACUCCGUG